UUCCACAAUCUGCCACUCUUCCCACUGCCAAGAAGUUUGCUGACGUGUACUCGAACAUCCUCUCAACUUCGGCAUUGCAAGGCUCCAUUGUAUGCCCUCUGGAAGUGCUUCGACACUACUUCCCCACAUGCACAGAGUUCCACAUCCACAGCAUAUUAAAGCUUACUGUUGGCUGAGCACCCAGGCCCUGACCAAUAUCUCACAGAGGACUGACCAGUGAAUGGCUCCAGGUCCAGGGGGCACUGAUGG